GAAUAAAAAUGGGGAAACCUGAUCCCUCAUUCCCUGAACUGGACACAGUGUGAAUUCAGUGAACUGAAUCACUGAACAAACCUGAACUGAAUUCAGUGAACAGGUCACUGAGUUCGACACGCCAAAUGAGGUAUAGGCUCAAGAAGAAAUACUUUGAUGGGGUAGCGGCCAAUCAAGUUAGGACUACAUCACCAUGUUCAUGUAUGAAUGAUGCACAAUGGAAAAAAUUGGUAGACGUGGUCAGACCCAAAACACAAGGAAAAAUGUGCAAACAGCCAACGGAACCGUGCAAAAGUCAAGUUGCCUGGUUGUACUGGAUCUCGGUCUUACAUUGCAGCAGCCUACGCCUCAAAGCAAGAUAAAUACAAAGAUACAGAGCCCACUGCAAUUGAUCUAUUCAAGUUGACGCAUUGCAGCAAAACUAAGGGUUUCAGUGAUAAUGCCAAGAAAGCUGUAGUAAGUACCUCUCCAUUUUUUGUAGUACACUGCAUAAUGAACUGUAUAAAUAAAUACAAACUGAUAAAUCAUUGUCUUGCUAGGACGAUAUGGAAGCCAUUUUGACAAGACCAGUACAAGAAGGGGAACAGGAAAAGACUUUCACCGAGAUUGUUUCCCAAGUGUUGUCGGAGUCAAGCACAUUCCUUCGUAAUGUGGGACUUAAGCAGACUGCCGCUCCAAAGUCUGUUUCACUGCAGAUGCAAGAGCUAUGAGCUCAAUUGGAGGCUGAGAAGGAAGAAUCUGCAGGACUUCAGCAAAAGCUCCAGAGGUUGGAAGCCCAUGCAGAAGAAUCUGAGGCAAAAUCUCAGAAACAAGCUGAGCAGAUUGACAAACAAGCUGAGCAGAUUGACAUCCUGAAGAAGGCAACAGUUGAUACUCAGAAUCUCGUUCGGCAGAUGAUAGAAUUUGGAUAGAGUCAAGUCAAUGAUCAGACUACUCCUUGACUUGGCUGUGCUCAGGAUGCUGGACUCAUUUUGGUGAUAUCUGACUUGAACUGUGCUCAGUUUGGUAUUGAUGUUUGGUGAUCCGGACUCAUUUUGGUGCCUGGAAUAGCUGCAUGGACCUUUACAUUGCCAUGUGUCUUUUGGUGAACUGGAUCAGUUGUGAUGCAUGGAUCUGGACCUGCACUCAGUUUGGUUUUGCUGUUGGUGAAGUGGUGAUGAUGGACUUGGACCUAUACUCAGUUUGAUUUUGCUGUUGGUGAAGUGUUCGAUGAUGAACCUGUGAUCGGUUGCCAUAAGACUGUUUGACUUAUUUUGAUGUACUGUUUGACUUAUUUUGGAUGAAUGAUUAUUGUGGUCUAAAUGGCUGGUGAAUGGUCACAACUUAUGAACCAUUAAUUUGUGUGGCAUGAUUUGUUGGGAUGUCUAAUUAUCAUUGUUAUUAAA